GGCCUAACACAUGCAAGUCGAACGGCAGCACAGAGGAGCUUGCUCCUUGGGUGGCGAGUGGCGGACGGGUGAGGAAUACAUCGGAAUCUGCCUUGUCGUGGGGGAUAACGUAGGGAAACUUACGCUAAUACCGCAUACGACCUACGGGUGAAAGCGGAGGACCGCAAGGCUUCGCGCGACAAGAUGAGCCGAUGUCGGAUUAGCUAGUUGGCGGGGUAAAGGCCCACCAAGGCGACGAUCCGUAGCUGGUCUGAGAGGAUGAUCAGCCACACUGGAACUGAGACACGGUCCAGACUCCUACGGGAGGCAGCAGUGGGGAAUAUUGGACAAUGGGCGCAAGCCUGAUCCAGCCAUGCCGCGUGGGUGAAGAAGGCCUUCGGGUUGUAAAGCCCUUUUGUCCGGAAAGAAAAGCUUUCGGCUAAUACCCGGAAGUCCUGACGGUACCGGAAG
rnacentral:rRNA from 1 species